CCCUUGACAAUGUAGCGGUUAACACGCGAGCUUCUUACGUCUUGCCUAUUACGGCAGUGUCGAGCACGAGAGCAGGGGUUCGACUCCCCGCCAAGGGC